rnacentral:rRNA from 1 species
UUGCGCCUACGGGGGGCAGCAGUAGGGAAUUUUCGUCAAUGGGCGCAAGCCUGAACGAGCAAUGCCGCGUGAACGAAGAAGGGUUUCGGCUCGUAAAGCUCUGUUGUUGGAGAAGGACGUGCGUGAGAGUAACUGUUCACGCAGUGACGGUAUCCAACCAGAAAGUCACGGCUAACUACGUGCCAGCAGCCGCGGUAAUACGUAGGUGGCAAGCGUUAUCCGGAUUUAUUGGGCGUAAAGCGAGCGCAGGCGGUUGCCUAUG